rnacentral:misc_RNA from 1 species
UUAAGUUCAGCGGGUAGUCCUGACUGAUUUGAGGUCUAAAGCUUAAGAUGCUUUAAAAGCGCAUUAGAAGCACCGCUUACUUUUGAAGAAGACGUCCUCAGCGAAAUAAUUAUUACGCCGAGUCAAACCGUCUAUUUCAAAGGGGUUGCUCGUGUAUUUCAGUUGAGCCGGCAAUUUACGCCGACAACAACCAUAAUCCA